rnacentral:rRNA from 1 species
CCCCACUAUGCCUAGCCUUAAACUUAAAUAAUUUUCCCAACAAAAUUAUUCGCUAGAGUACUACAAGCAACAGCUUAAAACUCAAAAGACUUGGCGGUGCUUUAUAUCCCCCUAGAGGAGCCUGUUCCAUAAUCGAUAAACCCCGAUAAACCCUACCAGCCCUUGCUAAUUCAGCCUAUAUACCGCCAUCUUCAGCAAACCCUAACAAGGAACUAAAGUAAGCACAAGUAUAAGACAUAAAAACGUUAGGUCAAGGUGUAGCUUAUGGGAUGGAGAGAAAUGGGCUACAUUUUCUACUCUAAGAACAACAAUUACCCAAACGAAAGUUUCCAUGAAACCAAAAACUAAAGGAGGAUUUAGCAGUAAAUUAAGAAUAGAGAGCUUAAUUGAACCAGGCCAUAAA